AGAAAAGGAGAGAAGAGUAAGGAAUUCAUGAAAACCUAACCCUAACUUCAGCCAUAACAUCAAGUACACCUUAAAUUAAAGUUUGGAUCAAGAAAAGGAGAAAUUUGGUACUUAUGGACAAGAAGGUAAUACGACGGACAAGCCUGGAACUUCACGGGUUUGGACUCGGUGAAUUGAGAUACAAAGAGUUGCAUUGAGUCGACAUUUGCAUCUGAUAGAGGUUUCGGGUGGGCCAAUGGAGAGUUCAUUGCACGUGCAUAUUUUAAAGUGUUUAUGUGUAUAAGAUAGAUGACAAAACUUUUGUACUAAGAGUUAUUGUAUAAAGUUAUGUAUAAGUGUUUGAUGUGAGAUAGUUUGAAUAUUACGGUUAUGCGAUAAGUUAAAACUUUUGUG